rnacentral:rRNA from 1 species
UACGGGGGGGGCAAGCGUUGUUCGGAAUUACUGGGCGGAAAGGGCUCGUAGGUGGCCAACUAAGUCAGACGUGAAAUCCCUCAGCUUAACUGGGGAACUGCGUCUGAUACUGGAUGGCUUGAGUUUGGGAGAGGGAUGCGGAAUUCCAGGUGUAGCGGUGAAAUGCGUAGAUAUCCGGAAGAACACCGAUGGCGAAGGCAACCACCUGGGCCUGUACUGACGCUGAGGUACGAAAGCGUGGGGAGCAAACAGG